GGUUAAGCGACUAAGCGUACACGGUGGAUGCCCUGGCAGUCAGAGGCGAUGAAGGGCGUGCUAAUCUGCGAUAAGCGCCGGUAAGGUGAUAUGAACCGUUAUAACCGGCGAUACCCGAAUGGGGAAACCCAGUGUGAUUCGUCACACUAUCAUUAACUGAAUCCAUAGGUUAAUGAGGCGAACCGGGGGAACUGAAACAUCUAAGUACCCCGAGGAAAAGAAAUCAACCGAGAUUCCCCCAGUAGCGGCGAGCGAACGGGGAGGAGCCCAGAGCCUGAAUCAGCAUGUGUGUUAGUGGAAGCGUCUGGAAAGGUGCGCGAUACAGGGUGACAGCCCCGUACACAAAAGCGCAUGUGCUGUGAGCUCGAUGAGUAGGGCGGGACACGUGGUAUCCUGUCUGAAUAUGGGGGGACCAUCCUCCAAGGCUAAAUACUCCUGACUGACCGAUAGUGAACCAGUACCGUGAGGGAAAGGCGAAAAGAACCCCGGCGAGGGGAGUGAAAAAGAACCUGAAACCGUGUACGUACAAGCAGUGGGAGCACAGGUUUACCUGUGUGACUGCGUACCUUUUGUAUAAUGGGUCAGCGACUUAUAUUCUGUAGCAAGGUUAACCGUAUAGGGGAGCCGUAGGGAAACCGAGUCUUAACCGGGCGUUAAGUUGCAGGGUAUAGACCCGAAACCCGGUGAUCUAGCCAUGGGCAGGUUGAAGGUUGGGUAACACUAACUGGAGGACCGAACCGACUAAUGUUGAAAAAUUAGCGGAUGACCUGUGGCUGGGGGUGAAAGGCCAAUCAAACCGGGAGAUAGCUGGUUCUCCCCGAAAGCUAUUUAGGUAGCGCCUCGUGAAUUCAUCUCCGGGGGUAGAGCACUGUUUCGGCUAGGGGGCCAUCCCGGCUUACCAACCCGAUGCAAACUGCGAAUACCGGAGAAUGUUAUCACGGGAGACACACGGCGGGUGCUAACGUCCGUCGUGAAGAGGGAAACAACCCAGACCGCCAGCUAAGGUCCCAAAGUCAUGGUUAAGUGGGAAACGAUGUGGGAAGGCCCAGACAGCCAGGAUGUUGGCUUAGAAGCAGCCAUCAUUUAAAGAAAGCGUAAUAGCUCACUGGUCGAGUCGGCCUGCGCGGAAGAUGUAACGGGGCUAAACCAUGCACCGAAGCUGCGGCAGCGAACGUAUCACCCAAGACAACUUUACGGAGUUGACGAUUGACGGAGCGAAGCGACGUCAAAGCGUUCAUUAAAGUCGAGUUGGCUUAGGGAUACGUUCGUUGGGUAGGGGAGCGUUCUGUAAGCCUGUGAAGGUGUGUCGUGAGGCAUGCUGGAGGUAUCAGAAGUGCGAAUGCUGACAUAAGUAACGAUAAAGCGGGUGAAAAGCCCGCUCGCCGGAAGACCAAGGGUUCCUGUCCAACGUUAAUCGGGGCAGGGUGAGUCGACCCCUAAGGCGAGGCCGAAAGGCGUAGUCGAUGGGAAACGGGUUAAUAUUCCCGUACUUGGUGUUACUGCGAAGGGGGGACGGAGAAGGCUAUGUUGGCCGGGCGACGGUUGUCCCGGUUUAAGCGUGUAGGUGUGUGUUCCAGGUAAAUCCGGUUCACUUUAACACUGAGGCGUGACGACGAGGCACUACGGUGCUGAAGCAACAAAUGCCCUGCUUCCAGGAAAAGCCUCUAAGCAUCAGGUAACACGAAAUCGUACCCCAAACCGACACAGGUGGUCAGGUAGAGAAUACCAAGGCGCUUGAGAGAACUCGGGUGAAGGAACUAGGCAAAAUGGUGCCGUAACUUCGGGAGAAGGCACGCUGACACGUAGGUGAAGUGAUUUACUCAUGGAGCUGAAGUCAGUCGAAGAUACCAGCUGGCUGCAACUGUUUAUUAAAAACACAGCACUGUGCAAACACGAAAGUGGACGUAUACGGUGUGACGCCUGCCCGGUGCCGGAAGGUUAAUUGAUGGGGUCAGCGCAAGCGAAGCUCCUGAUCGAAGCCCCGGUAAACGGCGGCCGUAACUAUAACGGUC
rnacentral:sRNA from 1 species